GAUGAACGCUGGCGGCGUGCUUAACACAUGCAAGUCGAACGGGAAACCUUUUAUUGUUGCUUCGGCAGAUUUAGCUGGUUUCUAGUGGCGGACGGGUGAGUAACGCGUGGGUAACCUGCCCUAUACAGGGGGAUAACAACCAGAAAUGGUUGCUAAUACCGCAUAAGCGCACAGGGCCGCAUGGUCCGGUGUGAAAAACUCCGGUGGUAUAGGAUGGACCCGCGUUGGAUUAGCCAGUUGGCAGGGUAACGGCCUACCAAAGCGACGAUCCAUAGCCGGCCUGAGAGGGUGAACGGCCACAUUGGGAAUGAGACACGGCCCAGACUCCUACGGGAGGCAGCAGUGGGGAAUAUUGCACAAUGGGGGAAACCCUGAUGCAGCGACGCCGCGUGAAGGAAGAAGUAUCUCGGUAUGUAAACUUCUAUCAGCAGGGAAGAUAGUGACGGUACCUGACUAAGAAGCCCCGGCUAACUACGUG
rnacentral:rRNA from 1 species